AAGAGAGGCUGGCUAGCAAUGAAAUCUGCUAAAUUUCAACACCUUGGUUGAAAUCCAAGGCUCACUUG
rnacentral:tRNA from 1 species